UUGCACAUCAAGUGAUCUGCCAGGUCCCAGAGUAGGCUGGUGGCAGAGGCAGGACUAGAACCCAGAUCUUCCAACUCCUGACCUGGUGGUCUUUCCAAUACGCUACUGCCUGAUAUAUUUUACAGAAGAUGGCGACCUAAAUAAUAAUGGCGGCCACUACGAACUAGAUGCGUACUCAGGGCCAGGGUCAGCAGUAAAUGUUUUACAUGAAUGAUUUCAUUUAAUCCUAAGAAUUGCUGACCUACAAAGCAAAUAAGGAAACAGAGGCUCAGAAAGAUUAAGCAACUUCUCCAAGACGCUACUGCAGAAUCUUCUUGGGCCAUUACUUCCUCGGAGAGAAGCAAAUCCUUCAUAGGGAAUGCUGGAUGUGCCCGUGACAAACUAUCGAUCCAAGAAAACAGAAGGAUAAAAUGAAACCAAGAGACUAGCUGCUGAGAAACACAUGGCAUCAUUCAUGUGCAGGGCUCUUAGGGGAGAGCAGCUCGCUGGUGGGAAAGCCUGAACAUGAAACUCCAUGGGUGUGGGAUAACCUAACACAAGAAUUCUGACAAAGAUCUGGGGAGCACUAAGGGAAGACAGUACAUUAUAAAGGAUAAGGAGAUGCAGAGGGUCUUAGUGGAUAAAACCGGCUGUGCAGCUAACCAGCUCAGGAGACUAAACUGGGUUUAUUUCCCAUUAUAGAUUAAUAAAGUGGGUUAUUAAUUAACCUAAGUCUGCUUAGCAUCAGUCCCCGAUCAACUUGAGGUGAAUAAAUUUGAGGACCAGAUCCUUGAUCCAAAGGAGCUAAGACCCAAUCUACUUGUAAGGCUCUGCCUAAGCAUCUAGAAGGCUUGCUCAUGUUUGAUAUUUCUUUGGCUGCAAUCAACCAGCAAAUGCCUGCGUAACUAUAAACACCACAGGAAAAUAA